GUGAUCUCUUCAAGUGGCUGUUGUUUGGCAUGCUCAUCAUUGUGGCAUUGCUUACGAAACAUGAGUCUCGACCCUUAGAACACAAUCCCUGAUUCCCUGCCAAUUCUGUUGCUGAUAACUGUCGGAAAAUCUUACUGUCAGGAAGAUAGCCAGUAAAAUGGUUGUAAGAGAUGUUUAGAGAAACAAGAUUUUCAAGCCCAGCAAGCGCCAUCAAAUCUCCUCCCAGUUUAUUGUGUGAAAGAUCAAGCAUGGAUAAUUUGUUCAGUGCAGAAAUCUGCGGUGGAAUUGUCCCAGUAAGUGCAUUCCAACUCAAAUUCAAAGCAAUA
rnacentral:misc_RNA from 1 species